CCUACGUGUGGCAGCAGUGGGGAAUAUUGCACAAUGGGGGAAACCCUGAUGCAGCGACGCCGCGUGAGUGAAGAAGUAUUUCGGUACGUAAAGCUCUAUCAGCAGGGAAGAAAAACCGGCCUUAGGGCCGCCAGACGGUACCUGACUAAGAAGCCCCGGCUAACUACGUGCCAGCAGCCGCGGUAAUACGUAGGGGGCAAGCGUUUUCCGGAUUUACUGGGUGUAAAGGGGGCGUAGACGGCAGCGCAAGUCUGGAGUGAAAUGACGGGGCCCAACCCCGGAACUGCUUUGGAAACUGUGCAGCUGGAGUGCAGGAGAGGUAAGCGGAAUUGCGAGUGUAGCGGGGAAAUGCGUAGAUAUUAGGAGGAACACCAGUGGCGAAGGCGGCUUACUGGACUGUAACUGACGUUGAGGCGCGAAAGCGUGGGGAGCAAACAGGAUGAGAUACCCGGGUAGUC
rnacentral:rRNA from 1 species